rnacentral:rRNA from 1 species
UACGAAGGGGGCUAGCGUUGCUCGGAAUCACUGGGCGUAAAGGGCGUGUAGGCGGCGUUUUAAGUCGGGGGUGAAAGCCUGUGGCUCAACCACAGAAUGGCCUUCGAUACUGGGACGCUUGAGUAUGGUAGAGGUUGGUGGAACUGCGAGUGUAGAGGUGAAAUUCGUAGAUAUUCGCAAGAACACCGGUGGCGAAGGCGGCCAACUGGACCAUUACUGACGCUGAGGCGCGAAAGCGUGGGGAGCAAACAGG